rnacentral:rRNA from 1 species
UGUCUCAGUUCGGAUUGGAGUCUGCAACUCGACUCCAUGAAGCUGGAUUCGCUAGUAAUCGCGCAUCAGCCAUGGCGCGGUGAAUACGUUCCCGGGCCUUGUACACACCGCCCGUCAAGCCAUGGGAGUCGGGAGUGCCUGAAGUUCGUGACCGUAUAGGAGCGACCUAGGGCAAGACUGAUGACUGGGGCUAAGUCGUAACAAGGUAGC